GGGGGUGACCAGGUCUCGACAGGGCAAGUCGGAACUUCGGUUGCGUGCCGGGGAUGAUCGUUGGCCCCGUAAAACAUCGAUCAAAAACCUAACUGCGAACGAUAACUUCGCCUACGCGGCCUAACCUUUUGGCCCGUCGCUGAACCCCUGACACCUGCUAAGGGCGGAAGCGUCAACCCGCAGGUCUCUGCGUGAACCGGCCCCUCGGGGACACGCAACCGUAUCAUCACGAAGGGUGGCGCAAGGUCUGGCCCGCCGGUUGGCUUGCCUUGCGCGACACAAAGAUCCGGCUACGCACGUAGACAUCGCUGUGAAGCUGCCUUGGACGCGGGUUCAAUUCCCGCCACCUCCACCA
rnacentral:tmRNA from 1 species